rnacentral:rRNA from 1 species
UACGUAGGGUGCGAGCGUUAAUCGGAAUUACUGGGCGUAAGCGUGCGCAGGCGGUUUGUAAGCCGGAUGUGAAAUCCCCGGGCUUAACCUGGGAAUGGCAUUCGGGACUGCAAGGCUGGAGUGCGGCAGAGGAGGACUGGAAAUUCCUGGUGUAGCAGUGAAAUGCGUAGAGUAUCAGGAGGAACACCGAUGGCGAAGGCAGCUCGCUGGGACGGUACUGACGCUAAGGCGCGAAAGCGUGGGGA